AUGAAAAAAAAAGACUUCACGCCAUGGACACAUCAGCACAACCAUAGGCACACCUCCAUUCUUUUCCUUUUUCUUUCUCUCACCAUCAACACACCGAAAGAACACCACACCAUUAAUACACAAUUAUUUAGGGGUCCCCUUCACAGGUUCUUUUCACUUCUUUAAAAAAAUAGACGGAGGGUACACGAAAGAGGGGGGAUUUUGGCCAUUUUUGUCUGGAAAAGUAUAGAAACACAAAAAAAUAUUUUUUUUUCUUUCUUCUCCAUUGAUAGACGCAUAAGGAGAGAAAACACAUGAGAGAGGGAGGGAGUAAAAUGUAGAGCUGAAUUCGAGAGGGUGGGAGCUGAAAUUGAGAGAGGGAGAGAGGUUGUUGGACUGUUUUUGACGAGUCUCUUGCCUAUGACCCACUAGAAUCGCUGCCAAAAACCCUCAAAAACCACGAUUUAUCCGUUGUUCCAUCGAUAAUCACUGGAAAACAACCACACCAACUGUAUUUCAAUCAAACUCACAUCGAACAGCUUUCAUCUCUUGUUCUCAGUUUAAAUCCCGCCGGAAAACAUUAAUUACGAUCACCAGAUCGUCUGAAUCGGUUGUUUUAGUUUGAAUCCGGUUGAGUAUCAUCAAAAACUGUCACAUGGG
rnacentral:lncRNA from 1 species